rnacentral:tRNA from 1 species
UCCGGGGUAGCUCAGUGGUAGAGCGGGCGAUUGUUAAUCGUCUGGUCGUAGGUUCGAUCCCUGCCCCCGGAGCCA